UACGUAGGGGGGCGAGCGUUGCCCCGGAUUUAUUGGGCGUAAAGGGCGCGUAGGCGGCUCGGCACGUCCGUUGUGAAAUCGCCCGGCUCAACUGGGCGGGGUCAGCGGAUACGGUCGAGCUUGAGCAAGCUAGGGGGUAAUGGAAUUCCCGGUGUAGUGGUGGAAUGCGUAGAUAUCGGGAGGAACACCAGUGGCGAAGGCGGUUACCUGGGGCUUUGCUGACGCUGAUGCGCGAAAGCGUGGGGAGCGAUCCGG
rnacentral:rRNA from 1 species